CUGACAAAGACACUUGUCCCAAUUGGCGAUCCCAGGAGCUCGAAAUCAUUGAAGUUGGUUGGCUGUGUGGAGGGCACGGAUACCAUCCUUGCCAUCACAGAUCUUGGUUCAUUCGCAAUUGAUCCCAAGUCCCUGAAGUUGAGAAAGCUGUCGGAUAAGAUUUGCAAGAAUGAGUUCGGAUUGGACCGAGUAUUUGAGAACCUCUUUCUCUACACGAGCUUCAACAAUCCACCAGCGGUGGCUGGUGUUGUGGGCGAAGCAAGCUCAAGUGAAGUAGGAGGUGCUGAUGCGGAAGUUUGAAUCUCUGGCAAGGCGUUGAAGCAUGGAAAGUUCAGUUCGUCUUUCGGUGUCGGUUAUCAUUUGGAGUUUUUGUCCUAUAUAUGUUUGAUAUGGGUCGUCUUACCUUUGGUGUCAUGUUAAGGGUCGGGUUCUAAGUUGGUCAGCCAGCAUGCUUCCAUUUCUUUGCGUGGUUAUUGUCAAGCUCUUGUUCCUUCAGUCAUCUUGAUAGCUUGUCCUGCAGGCUACAGCUACUAAGCCUGGCAGAAUGUUUUCUGUUUUGUUAUAUACUGUAUCAGAUAGCAACUUUGCCUGCCAGAAUGUUUCCAGUUUAGUUAUACUUAUCAAAUAGGCAAAUGGCUACUGACACCA